UGCCGCGUGCAGGAAGACGGCCCUACGGGUUGUAAACUGCUUUUGUACCGGAAUAAACCCUUUUACGAGUAAGAGGUUGAAUGUACGGUAAGAAUAAGGAUCGGCUAACUCCGUGCCAGCAGCCGCGGUAAUACGGAGGAUCCAAGCGUUAUCCGGAUUUAUUGGGUUUAAAGGGUGCGUAGGCGGCCAAUUAAGUCAGGGGUGAAAGACGGUAGCUUAACUAUCGCAGUGCCUUUGGUACUGAUUGGCUUGAAUGUACUUGAGGUAGGCGGAAUGUGACAAGUAGCGGUGAAAUGCAUAGAUAUGUCACAGAACACCAAUUGCGAAGGCAGCUUACUAAAGUAUGAUUGACGCUGAGGCACGAAAGCGUGGGGAUCAAACAGGAUUAGAUACCCUGGUAGUCCACGCCCUAAACGAUGAACACUCGAUGUUGGCGAUAUACGGUCAGCGUCUAAGCGAAAGCGUUAAGUGUUCCACCUGGGGAGUACGCCCGCAAGGGUGAAACUCAAAGGAAUUGACGG
rnacentral:rRNA from 1 species